rnacentral:sRNA from 1 species
AGUGGGCCAAGACUAGAUGCUCAUCAACGUAUGGAUGGAUGGUGCGUCUACACAAUGGCGUUUUAUGGGACCCUAAAGCAAACUGAAAUCAUGACAUUUGCAGGUAAAUGAGUGGAACUGGAGAUUGCUGUGUUGAAGGCGGUAGACACAGAAGGACAAACACCUCAUGUUUUCUCUCACAUAUGAUGUAGAUUUUGAUUGUUACCCAACCAGGAAAGCGAUCAUGAGAGUGGGAAAAGGAGCUCUUGGGUUGGAGGUGAGAAGAGAAACUAAAAAGUCAAGAGAACACAUGUGGCAAAAAAUGAGAAGAGGGACUCCUGAGGGAGGAAGCCAGCGGAGCAGGUUCUACAGCUGUAAACCACCUGCCCUCAGAGCUACUGACUUCAUACUUCUCCUUUUCUAAAGGAUCAGAGUCCAGGCUUUCCAGACUGUACUGAGGUGGCCUAAGUGACCAAUGCAAACACUGUGAUGGCUAUUCAACACGUGAAGCCCAACGCUGUGACAUCAUUUGGACACCAUGCACACUACUAACUUGAGGGUAAUCAGAGCUGCGGACUGAUGGAGUGGAAAGAGUGCUGGGCAGAGGGCCAGAGUCUCAGAGUUCAAGCUUGUUGCUGUAACAUUCGCCAGCUCUGCAUCCUCAGCAAAGAAAUUGCCCGAGUCUUGGAAUCUCUGGAUGACGGACAUGGCCAAUGCUCCUGGCUUCACAUGAAGACGAAAUCAGACCUUAAAUUUUCAUUCGGCAUUCUGUCUGCAGGUUCCUGAUUAUGAAGCUGGAAAUACAUGUGGAGGAUCCUUGACAUGCCCGCUCUGAGCCAUGCCUCCACUCACGGGCCCUGUUUUGACUUCAGGUUUAAAGUCCAGCUGAGUGACUCUCUGUGUUUUCACCAUGGGGCUGCGUCUUUCUUCAAUAUCCAGCUGAGCAGAAAGAAGCAAUGUCCGUCUCUGCAAUCUGUUCUAGUGCAGACACCCGCGACAGGCGACGUCAUCAACUACUUUAGCGUUUCAAGACAAGAAGAGAGAAACAUCUGGGAAGGAAGAGCAUGACAACAUCAGCCUCUGAGGUUUGCAGCCUAGUGUGUCAGCCAUGAUGACUGCAAUCUCUGCUAAAGUUACCAGAAAUAGAUUUCAACUCACAGUGCAGUUUCUCCAUUAGAGCAUUCCGUUUCUAAUGCUCCAUUACCCAGCAAGUGGAAUGCCACCAGAGAAGGAGGUAGAGUCAGCACCAAGCAUCAAAGAAAGAAGAGCAUCUCCCGUGAGUACACACAAAGAAGGAUUGUAUAGUGCUCACUGCAAGCUAACAGGUCAGAUAAGUGAGUUGACUCAUUACUGAAGUGCGAGUUUGUAAACUUCGACUGUGUGGUGGAGCACAGCAGACAGCAGACCAAAGCAAAUUCACAUUCCAGAACUUCCUCAGCCACAGGCUGGAUCUGCUGCCCUGAAAUGGGUGCUUUCGUUUUCUAGGUUCUGCUUUUCUCUUCUGUAAAGUCGUGUGGCUGAUCUCAAAGGUUCUUUCCAGCUCAGGAUCUCUAUGUUUCUAAGCAAGGAACCACGUGCUUUACUGCAAACUCAAGAGCCAGUCAUAAGGGCAAGACACCUUUCACUCUUACUGUCUGCAAAGUCAUACGGAAACAAAAUGAGUAAAAGUGUUCCUUCUAGAAUAAAGCAGAAAGUGCCCUCAUAUGCCUCUGUGGGGAGCAUGACUGUAUUUUGACUCUUUGGCACAUGUAAUUUUUAAAAAAGUUGGGACUCACAUCAUAAAUAAUGUUGAAUGGAGCUUACCAACAUCCAUACAGAAGUACCUAGCAACUUUUCAUGACUGCACUGGGGGAUUCCUUACAUCAAAGACACAUCGUAUUUAUCUCAACAAAGAUACUGGAUGAGAACUUGAAAUGAAUAUGUUAAGCAAUGAGUAGUUUUCAGUCACAAUCCCUGUAAAAACAAAUUUGGGGAAAUUACCAAGCAACAUAUGUGAGGCCAGAGAGAUGCAUUGCUGACUUCUUUUUGUUUACCUGCUAGUAGAGUAUGUUUUAAAUAUUCAUUAAAUUAUUUAAUAUAGGACUUUGAUUAUUAACCUCCAACAAAUAGCUACAUCUUAAAAAUUAAAAUUACAGCUAAGCUCUGGCCUUCAUGUGGGUCUGGAACAACUGGAAUGGAGGCUAUGCAAAAUCUGUUGCCUGUAUGUGGAAUAUGUUGUACUACCUGGGCUACAUUGUGAGUCCUCUGUGGAAGAAGUGCCUAGCCUCAAAGACAUGAAGUGCCAUUGUUGGAGGUCAGGUAUACCCAGGGGGUCCUACCCACUCAGAAGAG